GGGGCUGAAUUGGUGAAGUUUAAAAAUCAGAAUCUUUUUAAAAUCUUUUUCGCAAUCUUUAAACCUUUACAAAAUUUAUUGAAUCACAAGAAAUGAAAAGUUUAAGUGCAGCAAAAAUUACAAAAUUGACUACGUAAAGAAUAAAAUCGACUUAACGUAAAAUUGUAAGGAUAGAGAAAUCAAACACAAAUUUUAGUUUAAAAAAUACUUUUGAUAAAAUUCCAAAAUAUAAAUAUAAUGAUAUUAAAUAAUUACAUAAAAUUAAAUUAGUUCAUAUUAUGAUGUUAAUCAAUGGUAUUAUUUGAAUCACAUUAAAUUCAUGCUAAUAAAUAUUUCAUAAAAGCAUCUCCAUCGCCAAACCAGAAGAGCACUAAACUUAGAUGUAACUCAAAAGGAUGUUUGAAAGCAAAUAAAGGUGAGACAAAAAUCCAAAAUAAUCGAAAGAUUGAUCUCCACUUCUUUACCAACUAAACAUUUGCUUCAACUCUUCAAUUGACCUCGUUUUUUAAUUAUCAAAUACAACCACUAUAGCCGCUCCCAUUUUUAAACUAUAGUUUUACAUUAUUAUAAACAAAACCAUGAAAUUGUUCCUUUCAAGAAUUAUUUGCAUUUUUUCCCCAAAUUUCACGCCAUUGACAACCAAAUAGGUGCGAACACUGCGACUUUUUGACAUGUUACGCCACUUUUGCCCUUUUCGUCUACUCUCUUUCUCUUUCAGUCUGUCAAACUUGCUUUUGCUCCAUCCCCACCUUC
rnacentral:lncRNA from 1 species